rnacentral:rRNA from 1 species
UGGGGAAUAUUGCACAAUGGGCGAAAGCCUGAUGCAGCGACGCCGCGUGAGGGAUGACGGCCUUCGGGUUGUAAACCUCUUUCAGCAGGGAAGAAGCGAAAGUGACGGUACCUGCAGAAGAAGCGCCGGCUAACUACGUGCCAGCAGCCGCGGUAAUACGUAGGGCGCAAGCGUUGUCCGGAAUUAUUGGGCGUAAAGAGCUCGUAGGCGGUUAGUCGCGUCUGCUGUGAAAACUCGAGGCUCAACCUCGGGGCUUGCAGUGGGUACGGGCUGACUAGAGUGCGGUAGGGGGUGACUGGAAUUCCUGGUGUAGCGGUGGAAUGCGCAGAUAUCAGGAGGAACACCGAUGGCGAAGGCAGGUCACUGGGCCGCAACUGACGCUGAGGGGCGAAAGCAU